rnacentral:rRNA from 1 species
GAUCCUGGCUCAGGACGAACGCUGGCGGCGCGCCUAACACAUGCAAGUCGAACGAGAGAUGAGGAGCUUGCUCUUCAAAUCGAGUGGCGAACGGGUGAGUAACGCGUGAGGAACCUGCCUCAAAGAGGGGGGACAACAGUUGGAAACGACUGCUAAUACCGCAUAAGCCCACGGCUCGGCAUCGAGCAGAGGAAAGGAAGUGAUCCGCCUUUGUAGAUGGCCUCGCGUCCGAUUAG